rnacentral:rRNA from 1 species
UACGUAGGCGGAAAAUUAAGUCAGUGGUGAAAUCCUGCAGCUUAACUGUAGAACUGUCAUUGAUACUGGUUUUCUUGAAUACAGUUGAGGUAGGCGGAAUGUGUAAUGUAGCGGUGAAAUGCUUAGAUAUUACACAGAACACCGAUUGCAAAGGCAGCUUGCUAAACUGUGAUUGACGCUGAUGCACGAAAGCGUGGGGAGCGAACAGGAUUAGAUACCCUGGUAGUCC